GCUGGGCACGGUGGCACAUGCCUAUAAUCCCAAUAGCUUGGAGGCUGAGGCAGGAGAAUUGCAAGUUCAAAGGCAGCCUCAGCAAUGGUGAGGCGCUAAGCAACUCAGUGAGACCCUGUCUCUC
rnacentral:sRNA from 1 species